rnacentral:misc_RNA from 1 species
CCCAACUAUCCCUAUUAAUCAUUACGGCGGUCCUAGAAACCAACAAAAUAGUACCACGCGUCCUAUUUCAUUAUUCCAUGCUAAUGUAUUCGAGCAAACGCCUGCUUUGAACACUCUAAUUUUUUCAAGGUAAUGGUCCUGGUUCCCCGACACACCCAGCGAAGGGCAUGCCGUCUCACCAGAAGGAUAGGCCCGGCGUCGGAACAGUGCUCACCCGGAAGGUGGACCGCCCGGCCAGACCCAAAAUUCAACUACGAGCUUUUUAACUGCAACAACUUUAAUAUACGCUAUUGGAGCUGGAAUUACCGCGGCUGCUGGCACCAGACUUGCCCUCAA